UACUGUUGGCAGCCGAACUCCACCCAGGAGACGGAGGACCCAAGUAGUUGGGGCGCAGUCCCGGCCGAGCCGGGACGGGGUACUUUCAAGCCCUAGCCCGUCAGCUAACUCCGCAGGCUAAUUUGAAAGCCACC
rnacentral:sRNA from 2 species